GCCAGCCCCUAGCGCAGACGGCGGAGAGCUGGGAUGGAGCGCGCCUUGGCCCGCUGGCCUCGGCUGCAGCUCCUCCCGAGAACCCGGGCGCCCACGCGAGAAUCUCCCCACCUGGGUCUCUCUUCAGCGAUGACAUCACCGGUUCACCUCCUUAUCUUCAAGGACCACCUCUUGAUGCCCAGCUGCUGCCAAGAGGACGCUAGGAGCACUGACUGAUUCCUGGAUCUCACCAGCAUACAAAGCAGCCACUGGCAGAGACCCCUCCCCCCCAGGACCAGGACGAUGGAGGAUGAAGAGGACCAGAACUGACCAGCCGGCUGUUCCUCUUGGCUAUAGGCUUAAAACAAUGCCCUAGUGAGGGGGCAUUGUCGUUAACCCUGACCUUUGCUAUGCUUGUGCCUGUUGCAAUGCAUACUUUCCUGUAAGUCUCUGCUUGUGUUAAUGUGCCAGCAACCUGGAGUGUUUCCCUCCCCAAGAAGGUGUCAGUCUUUCUAAGCUGACCCUAUUGUUGCCCUUAUGAUGUCCGGAACGGAAAGACCCCUUUGGGAACUUCUCAGGAGGGGGACCUGGGCCAAGGGCUCCACCAGCAUCUCACUGGCAAUUCCAAGGCCCAGGUGGGCUUCUGGAAUGAGCAUGAGUCCUGAUGUCAUGCUACUGAACUGCCAAGGGCAUCCCCACGUUUGAGAUCUCCCUAUCCUUUCUGGGGAAUGGGGACGAGAAGUGCAACCUCCCAGGGCUGUUGUGAGUAUUAAAUGAGAUAAAGCAGCCUCGGGCAGGGCCGGGCAUGGAGGAGGCGGUCAGCAAAUGUUUGUUGAAAAAGUUUGCUAGGUCAGUCCAUUCCCACCAUCUCACUGUUCUUACUCCUCUCAUUUGUUCUCCCACAGCACUCGGAAUAGCCCCUGUCCACGGGGCUCUCCUUGCACCAGCCAAGCUUCUUGAAAGGCCUGUCUACACUUGCUGUCUUCCUUCUUCACCUCCAAUUUCCUCUUCAACCCACUGCUUCCUGACUUCUGUACUCCGUCGAACAGCUCUCACUCAGGGACACCUGCUCCUGGCAUCCCUCGUUCUUAGCUUCUUUUAGGAAUUCGCAUAUCCAGAUCACCCAACUUCUGGAACUUUCCUUUUACCAUCUCUCCCUGGAUUUGAGUCCUGGCUAACCCACCUGGUGCUGAGGCCUUGGAGUAGGUAGGUCCGUUUUUCCAAGCCACCUUUUUCUCGGUUGCAAAAUAGGGUUAAAAAUCUUCACCUGGCAGGUCAGGUGGGUUGUCUUGCAAGUGAGAACCAGACACUAUUUGAGGGACUUGAAAUAAGGUCAAUGAAGUACUCAUGAGAAAAUACAAUUAGUCACCAUCAGAUUUUCUUACAGGUUAAGUUCCCACGGGGAAGACCACAGAGAGAAGAAAGAAGUGGAGAGGGGAGGAGGGAAGUGGGAGAGAAAGGAGAAAAGAAUUAAAAAAAGGCCCUUAAACACAAAAAAGUAGGGAAGGGAAACUUAGAAAAUAUUAAAAUCUACCAAAAACACACCCAGAGAAAGGUUUCCUCUUGUGUCGGGUUGGGCUAAAAUAAACAGGAAAAAGGUUUUAAAUUGAUUACCCCAGUGACAAAUCCCAGGAAGCUUUCAAAUCAAAUUGCCCCGUUUUGGGGUUUUAACUCCUUCUAUCAAGUUUAACCUCUUUACCUCCUUCAUCCUGGUUAAACCCUCCCCGGCCCCUUUGCUGGUGAUUAAAUCCUGAAGGUACACGGAGUCUUUCAAUGAAUGAAUGGCCAACAGAAAGAACCCUCCCCCUCCCCCCAGCUGUGUUUUUCAGUUUUAUUCCACUUUCCGCCCUUUUCCUUAAUGAACACAGGGCUAAUCUUGGGCCUUGUCAAGGAAGAGGCUGCAGACGUUAAUGAGCUGGCGGCUGGGUCCCAAUGUUCCUCUCAUAAGGAGCUUUCUUUGUCUGCGAAGGAAAAACACACUGAUUAUCAUAAUGAGUUGAACUGGCGUCUGCUGGGGCAGGGGCGCCGUGGUCCUUAGGCCACACUUCUAAUUUCGGGCUGGAGCUAAGGUUUCAUUUGCUCCUCAUUUAAGUCUUGGCCUGGCCCAUUCAAGGAGGUUGGAGGUUGAAGGCUGUUUUGGGGAAGGGCUGCUUUUGCAGAAAGUUUCUUUGUUGGACCCGCUGCGCAGAUGCAACAGGCCAGGGUGAUGCCUGCCUCUGGGAUUCAUUCUCCAAAAGCUGAGGAAAAAGGGUGCCCGGUUCCGACGCUAGCACGCACAUGACUUGUUUCAGAACCCACGGAACAUUAAAAACUUAAGGUUACCAACUGGUAGACAAGUACCAAGUCACAGGUGUAGAACCCGUGAAAUUAUCACCAAGGGAACACCCAUGUGUUGUUUCAUCCAGGUCAAAAAAUGGAUGGAUAUUUGUGCCCCAGAGGCCCCCAUCCCCAUGGAAGGGCAUGGCUUGGGGUCUACAUUUAGGUCCUGCAUGUUGAGGAGAGAGGUUCAGAGCUAGUGGUUUGUUGGGCAGUGAGCCAAAUGCAGAGGGGACAGACGACUCUGAACCGGCACCAGACCCUGUGGGCACUUGUCCCCUUCAUGUCCUCAUCCCACGUCCUUUGCCCUGUCCCACCUCCUUUCUGUCCUGAUACUUGAAUGUCCCCAAGCCCAUUAAUGUUAGCAGGUAUGGCCUGAGCCUGAAACUUGCUCUUGUGUGUCCCGAGUUCUGGACAUUUGUCAUCCCAAGGCAGACCAGUUAAAUUAGAUCAUUUCAAUUAAACUUCAGGAUCUGGCCAGAUCUUCAACCAAAUGGAAAAAAACUAAGGGGGAAGCGAGGUGGUUGGAGCAAGAAAACUUAGUGGAAAACCUAUGAGCCUCCCUUCCCUCCCUCCCUGUUUCCCUCCCUCCCUCUUUUUUCUGCUAGGGUCCUCUGGCUGCCUGGAUCAGAGUCAGACACUCCAAGUUAGCAAAACCUGCUCUCAUCAAGUACCCCAAUAAAAAACGUCAAAGGGUAUCCACCUUUUGGUGGAGGUGACCCAGAUGUCGACCAGACUAGGGGACGAUGAGGGUGGCACCUCUGAAAAUGGGGCUCCCAUAAAAACUCUUCCGUCCAGUUCUUGGAGAGAGCAGUUCCUGGUUCUAAUUGAGAGAACACAUUUUAAACAGGAAAAAAACCCAUAGGAUCCUUCUCACCUCAAAUACAUAGUGAUAAUUGAAAUACAGGCCUAGGCCCAGGGGGUGGCCGGUUAGCUCAGUUGGUUAGAGCAUGGUGCUGGUAGCACCAAGGUUGCCGGUUCAAUCCCUAUAUAGGCCACUGAGCUGUGCCCUCAAAAAAUUAAAAAUACAGGCCCAAAGUGUCAUCUAUAUUCUAGCAUUUGAGUACCCGGGGAGGGGUGCAAGUCAUGAGUCAGCCGGGGUCUUGUGCUGAAUUCCUGGAGCCCUAACGGCCCAGAUGGGGAAACCCAUCUCCCCACCCCGCGCCUGCUGGGGUUUCUGAAUCAGGCAACCUUAUUUUUCUGAGGCCACCAGCAGAGGGGUCCAAACCUCAUCACUCCCCUGAGUGUAGGGGUGGCUGUUUUAACUUGUCUCCUUGUUUCUGUGGCACCCCAUCUUGUGCCUGUGCACACGAGGACCCUGCAUUCCACUGUUCCAGCCCAGGGGUCCUGGAUGGCUUCCUGAGUUGGCCCCCUGAUGCCCAGAGCCCACUGGUCUCAACAUCUGUCAUUUAGGUGAACCCUGGAGGCUUAGGAGAUUUGGGAAGAUGUGAUUUAAUCAGAUGGGAAACUAGGGAACGAGUGAGGCCCGGAGAUGUGCUCCCUCAUUCUUGAGUUUUUGGCUUUCUACUUUUACUGCUCACCUCUGUGCUCCAUCCUCCCUUCUCUCCCCCUGCACCCCUCCAUCACCAUUUCCUAAUCCGGUCCUCUGGGGGUGCCCUAGGCCAGCCCACACCUCCUUUGGGUGUCCCAGCACCAGCUUGGCACAAAGUGGGGUUCAGUAAGAGUAUGUGGGAUGUAUGUUUGGAUAGGUGAGUCAAUGAAGGAACUUGACUGCCAUACUCAAGUUGCUAGACGGGAGUCAAUGGGCACGCAAGUAGUUAGUUACAGGUCAAAAGGGUGGAGGGUGGAUUUCGUGUUAUUCAGAGGUGUGGGCUUUGCCCCACCUCCCGCCCCAUUUGAGCAGGGGCCCUGCCGGUCUCACCCCUUCAUUCACUCAUGCGUCCAUCCCGUCAUUCAACAGUUGAUCCUUACUGAGCAAGCCCACCGCCCGGCCCCGGGCUUGGCACCCGCCACGCUAGCACGUCCCUUGAUGGCCUCUGCCCCUCGGGAGCGUGGGCCGGGGGGUUGCCUCUGCUGAGGGCGGCCUCAGGGCUGCCCCAGUGCCGGAGCCCACUCCGGCUUUGUAGAAGGCAGGCAGGAUGGUGCGAGGGGCGGGCCUGGUUUGCCUUCCUUUGGCCAGUUGGCCGGUGGCCUUUAAUUCAGACCCUGGAGGAGCCUCGAACCUGCUCAUCUCCAGGGCUCUGCAAGCCAGCCCCUCCUGCCUUCCUUGCCUCCACACCCAUCCCGUAGCUGAGUGCUGACGGCUGUUCCGGGUCCCUGCCCUGGUGGGAGCACAGGAACAGCUGUGGUAUGUGUCCCCUUGGGCUCUGGCCACACAGGUCUCCCUCUUGAGUUGAGGGUCCCGUGAGCUGGACCCCUCCCUCCAUGAUACCUUCCUCCCCCUGGGGCUAAAUCCAACUCCUUUGCCUCCCAGUCAUUGGCUGGGGCCUGUGCCAUGCAAAGCACAGAUGGCUGGGAACCUCCAGGGAGCUCUGUAGGCUCCUCGGCUGCCUGGCUGCCUACCUGCUCUGCUCUACCUGGCAGCUCCUCCCCUGGCUCUCCACCAGCCAGGUUGGUUGACCACCUGGAGCUCUGCUUGCCACAGUCUCUUGCUUGGCCUGACUGACAUCCCCUUUCUCUGUGCCCGAGUCCCCCAGCUCCUUACUCUCUGGGCCUCAGCUGCCCGGCCCUCUGACUCACAGGUUGGUUUUCCUUGCUGAGCCCACACUUGUGUUACUUGGUUCUGCCUGCUGCCUCGUCCACCUACCUAUUUGCCUUUGACCCUGAUGCUGGGUCCAAAUACCCUUCCCCCAGCCCAAGAAGCCUCCCCCCUCAGUGCUGCCCAGGUUGCCAGCAGCUCCCCAGUACCUGUGGGACAAUCCCCUGCUGGCAUGCCACCUCCUCCAACCGUCUUCAAGCGCCUCCUCCCAUGGGCCUGUUCCCAGGGUCCAAGUGACUUUUUGUCCCGCCCCUUCCCCCAGACCCCUUUGUCGUGUCGGAGCAGGUAUUCCCACGGCCUGCCCGUACCCCCACCCUGUCCCUCUGAAUCCUGGGCUCUGCCUGCCCUAGGUCUCAGGUUGGUCUGGGGGCUGCCCCCCGCAGUCCUGUGGCUUCUCUUGCACCUUUUCCUGUCAUCGCUCAGGCCCAUGAGCCACCUUCUUCCACUGAAAACCAAACUUCAGAGGCGACCCCAUCAUCAGCACAGAGGCUGCGACCUGGCCGGCCGGCCGAAGGACUGGAUGGAAGAGGCGGAAGAGCCCCCAGGCGACCAUCGCCCUGGACCAGGCCCUCCUUCCUGACGGUCACCUGGUAUCUCACCUCAGCCCCAUGCCUCUCGCUUCCUUCCUGGUUUGGGACGAAGACUUUGCCCGGAAUCCUUCGUGGGAAGGGACCUCAGACACUGGACCCCAGCACCCUUCACCUGUAAAAUCCCUCCACAGCCACGGGGACGCCCUGCACACGUUCCCGCAGGACAGGCUGGACCCAAAGACUCUGGACUCAGGCCGCCCUCUGCGAGGAGGGGCGUGCCCUCCUCGGCCUCCCCUUCUGACUGAUGGACUUCACUGACCUCAGGGUCAGACGUGCGGGCUUCACCCUGCCCGCUCCUCACGAACCCUGAGACUUAGGGGAGCGGCUGCGCCUGCGACAUCUGCAUCUGUGAACCGGGCUCGGACACCUACCUCACAGGGCUGUUGUGAGAAGCCUGUGAGGCGGUUUGAAAGUGCCCGCCUGGGGCUUGGCACAUCCUGUUGUGCUCUCAAUAAAUGUAUUUUUUGCCUUAACAAACACA